AGUUCUGUGGUGUAAGGCACACUAGAUUGCAAACCUGGAAGCGCAGAUUAGACCCUGCCAGAACUU
rnacentral:tRNA from 2 species